AGGAAAGAACAUUAUAAAGGCGAAUGAGAGACGUGGGGACAUUGGGAAGACUCCAUUGUAACUUCUGGGGUCAGACAACAGCCAGAACCUGUCUUCUUCGCCAUAGAGAUGCUUGUUGGGUAGGUGAGGACUGAAGACUGUCAGGGUCUGAGUACCACAAUGGCUAAUCAGAUGUGAAGAUAAAUCAUGCUUGAACAUCUUUCACUAUGCAAAGCAGCACUUGGUUUGUAUGGGGACAAAGGAGAAAUC